AGGACCGCAGCAAGUGAUUGAUGCAGCACCAAGACAAGUGUGUGGUAUAAAGGAUGUGUCCGACUCCUAAUACCUGCACCAAUUUGAAUUUGGGGGUGAAGAGUCCUUGAAACUGAGGAGUUACCUGUUGGCUCAGAGCUAGAAUACCGUGAAUCAGCUGUUGAAGAUGGUGAAAGGCUCAGGGAAGGGGAGCAUCCAACUGGAGCAGAGGGAAAUGAUCCUAUGGGAAGAGGGAAUUUAAAGGAAUUUCAAGAUGGCCACAUGGAACUGAAUUCAUCCAAACAUUGCCAAAAUUUCUGUGGACAUUUUUGCAAAUAAACCAUCAACUAUGUGAAAGAAAGUUCAAGAAAUAUAAAUAAAAAGGUUCAUAGGUACCAAUGAAAUGAAUCUGAAAACAUUUUUAUUCAAAUGAACAUUUGUAUCUACUUCCUUGGAAUAUUCAUGCAGUUCUAGUUCAGCAUAUGCAAAUACAACACAAAAAUGUAUUUAUGAUGUAAAGUA